rnacentral:rRNA from 1 species
UACGUAGGGACCGAGCGUUGUCCGGAUUCAUUGGGCGUAAAGAGCUCGUAGGCGGCCACUCAAGUCGAAUGUGAAACCUCGAGGCUUAACCUCGAGCCUGCAUUCGAUACUGGGCGGCUAGAGUCUGGUAGGGGGAUCUGGAAUUCCUGGUGUAGCGGUGGAAUGCGCAGAUAUCAGGAGGAACACCUAUUGCGAAGGCAGCUCGCUGGGACGUAACUGACGCUGAGACGCGAAAGCGUGGGGAGCAAACAGG